rnacentral:rRNA from 1 species
CAGUAGCCGCGGUAAUACGAAGGGUGCAAGCGUUAAUCGGAAUUACUGGGCGUAAAGCGUGCGUAGGCGGUUUGUUAAGUCUGCUGUGAAAUCCCCGGGCUCAACCUGGGAACUGCAUUGGAAACUGGACGGCUAGAGUGUGUCAGAGGAUGGUGGAAUUCCCGGUGUAGCGGUGAAAUGCGUAGAGAUCGGGAGGAACAUCAAUGGCGAAGGCGGCCAUCUGGGACAACACUGACGCUGAAGCACGAAAGCGUGGGGAGCAAACAGGAUUAGAGACCCCCGUAGUCCCUGUCUCUUAUAC